AUGCUUUGUUUUUCUCUGCCCAUCCAGGUUAUUGAAGCUAUUGACAAACGUAGACGCACUUUUUUCUGGUCCAACGAUGAAACUUGCUCUGGGGCUAAAUGCUUGGUUGCUUGGGAUAAAGUAUGCACCCCCAGAUAUGCAGGUGGUUUGGGUGUUAAAAACCUUCGGGCACAAAAUUUUUGUUUACUGCUGAAAUUUGCUUACAAAUUUUUACACUCCACCUCCCUUCCUUGGAAGGAUUGGGUUCUGCAUCACUCACCUCUCCACAUUGGCUUUGGCAAGAAUAGCUCCUUUCUUGCUAAGACUAUUUUCAAACACCUUCAGAGCUUGAGAGAGAUUUCCCAGUGCACUGUUGGAGAUGGCUGCUCCACCUUCUUCUGGUUAGAUCGAUGGCUGAAGCCAGAACCUCUGGCUACAGUCUACCCAGCCCUUUUUUCCCACCAUACAAAACAAAACGCCUUGGUAGCUACAAUUAUGCAGGAAGGGAUCGAUCUUGCUCUUCGUAAUCGGCUAACCACUACUGCGAUUGCAGAACUUGCUUCUCUAAACUCUUUGUUGCAGGAUUGCGCUCUCUCGCAGGUACCGGACACUCGUCGCCUGCUCAACGGGUCCGCCUUCUCGACCCGGGGUGCGUAUGCGGCUCUCUCGGAUCAUCUCUCCGACCCCAUGCUCGCCGCCAUCUGGGACUCAAAAGUGCCCAAAAAGGUUAUGAUCUUCGGAUGUCUCUUCUACCUCGACCGACUCAACACCCGGAAGAACUUGCAUAAAAAAAACAUCCUGGAUACAGAAGCUUGUCCAAGAUGUUCUCACCAGGUUGAAGAUCGUGAGCACCUGUUCUUUACUUGCCCGGCUGCUCGGGCCAUUUGGCAGGCUAUCUCCAUUCGCCCAUGCUUCACGCCUGUUUGUAACCUCUUCUCUACAAGGUUACCAACUGCAUUGCCAACUUCAGUACGCUCCUUCGUGCUCCUAAUCGUUCUCUGGAAGAUCUGGGACGCUAGGAACAAAAAAGUCUUUCAAGGCUUCGACCUUCCUACUGCUGAUUCCAUUAGAGCUACUAUUGAAGACAUAACUUUAUGGGCUCCUCGGCUAAAAACCGAGAGCCUAAAGGAACACGCCGGGCUGUGGCGUGACUUCCUCUCCUCACGAAACACGUGA
rnacentral:rRNA from 1 species